UUUCGAUUAGUCAGAAAAAAGUGACAGCCGUUUAAGUGAAGCUACUUUUGUUAUUUUCAAAUCAAUGGAUUCAAAACAAUUUUGUGUGUUAAUUUAUCAUUGAUCUUGAUGAAAGAAAAUACUGUACAAACUAAGCAAUGGCUUCAAAAGUGUUAACCGGACGCUGCUCUAUUGGUUUACUGAAUUUAAUCGUAGUCGUUGGACUUUACGAACGUCCAAUUGAGGUCGUUACACCAGAAAAUAUCAAAAAAGUCCACAAAUUGGUUAUAACUAAUCGUAAAUUGAAAUCACAUGAUAUAGAUGAGGCCGAAAAGAUUUCAGAAGAUAAACUACUGGAAACAUUGGAAUGUCAUUAACUUACGAAUUUGUUUUCAUAUCUGACUCUCAUAGAAGGCAAAGAUACCAUAAGAAGAAAUGCCAGCUUAGGCGGAUUUUCGAUGCCAGUGCCCUCGAUUGUACGUGACAGAACUUAUAUAUUUCGUUUCAUUUAAAUUUACAACACAAAAAUACAUAAACACGUAGGUAAAUGUUGAUUAUGAGUUGUUUCUCGUAUUAAUGACCUUUUAGUCUAUUUUAUAAAUAGUGAGAUGUCUGUCCUAUGUUGAUAUAUAUAUGUAUAAACAGAUACUAGAAUCGAUAUGUCGUCGACGUCAUAUGUACAAGGACUUUCCCAACAAUUAUCGCAUUAUUUCAAAAAAUAUGAUAUUAGUAUAAGUCAUAAAGGACAUAAUACAUUGUCCCGAAUAUUUCACUAAAGUAAAAUCUAAAAGAAGCAAAAGAAAUAAUAUUAUAUAUCAAGUACCUUGUACUAAUUGUGAGGCUACAUAUCUACAUAGGGCAGACAUCUCACUAUUUAGAAAAUAGUUUAAAAGGUCAUCAAUACGGUAAACAAAAUAAAACUGCAUUAUCGAACCACGAAAUAUCAAAAAAAUAAAUUCAAUUAUAAAGAAUCAAAAAUUCUUGGAAUGGAAUCUAAUACACGAAAAAGAGAAUUAUUAGGAAAAGAUGUAAAUGAUAAAAAAGACCUAAAUAAUUUGAGUUAAAUGUAUAGUUCUUUUUUGUAAAUUCUAAUACAUCUACAAAUAAUUUAAUUAAUGGGAUGUAAAAACUAAUCUUUCUUGUUAAAACAAAUUUCUAUUUUGAUUUUAUUCUUAUUUUGAUAUUCAUGGUUUCUAAAUCGAUUUUAAAUCUAUUUUAAAAUUGGUAUUUUCUUAUUUUGCAAGACAGAUAAAAAUAUGACGUUUCGACUACUUUAAAAAAAUAUUUUGGGCACUGUGGAUCGCAAUCCAGCGUAACUGGUGAAGUUUAUGUAUAACAAUUCAGUAAGAAGAUAUCUAAACAUAUUGUAGAAGCUGUAUAGGAUCGUUUCAUGGAUUUUCCCCCAGCCAACCGCCGCCAAUUUGUGAAACUACACUUGCAGCACCAGAAAAGAAUCGUCAGUCUGAUACGCAUAAAAUUCAAAAUUUUGUAUCAACAGAGGAACAAACAUGCAAGCACCAAUUUAUUUUCAAAACGUUAGUAACUUCACCAUAUACUUUAAUAAAACAAAAUAUACAUUAACUGUGUUUUUCUGUGGUUGUCGUGUACAAUACGUGUUGAAAAUGGAAGGGGUGUCAACCCUAAUCGUAUUCUUAAAAUUACCAGAUGACGGCUAAUUUAUGUAUAGACAUAUUUUUCCAAAUAUACGAAACAUUCUGCAACUA